GACAGCUCAGUCAGUAGAGCGUGAGACUUAAUCUCAGGGCUGUGGGUUCAAGCCCCAUGUUGGGCA